rnacentral:tRNA from 1 species
GCCACGGUGGUCUAGCGGUUAGAACGCUGGCCUUGUAAUCCUGGGGUCUCGGGUUCGAUUCCCGGUGGUGCCA